AAAAUAGCUAAGAAGUUUUAAAGAAAACAAUACAAUAAACAAUUUUGCAAAUAUCCUUUUAAUGAAACUUGAAAUGUCAUUUAGCAUGCUUCCAAUUUGAACAAAUAUAGUAUAAUAACUAAUAAAAUGCUCCGCUGGGCGCAGCUUGAUAUGACCACAGAGGUCAAACCCUGAACAGUUGGGGCAAGUAUGGACACAACAUUCAAGCUUGAUACAGCACUGAAUUUGGAUUGGGAUUAAAUAUUUGACACAGCAUAGCUUUCUGACACAUAAUAAAUGUGUUCUAAGAACUUAAAAUUUUUUAAUUUACCUAUUCAAACCAUAUCAUUAUCAUUUGCUUUUAUAUAUAAAUCAGAAAUAACCAAUUUAAAAUGGAAAAUUUUAAAGAAAAAAAAAGGAAAAAAAAAUCCCUCCCCCAAAUUUUUUGAAACCCCUUAUGAUUCAUCACCCCCAAACUCAAUCCCAGCCUUCCCUUUGUGGUAUGGUACCUUGUUGUACAAUUUCAGAGAGAUCCAUACACUUGAACACAAGUUAUUGUCUGGAAACUAGAAAAAUGCUUGUUUUCAGGCCCCUUUUUGGCCCCAAAUUCCUAAACGUUUCGGGGAAUUAUCCCCAAACUCAAACCCAGCUUUCCUUUGUGAUAUGGAACCUUGUAGUACAAUUUCAUAAAGAUCCAUACACUUACACACAAGUUAUUGUCCUGAAACUAGAAAAAUGCUUGUUUUUUGCCCCCUUUUUGGCCCCUAAUUCCUAAAAUUUUGAGCAAUUACCCCCAUCAUCAAUCCCAGCCUUCCCUUUGUGGUAUGGUACCUUGCAGUACAAUUUCAGAGAGAUCCUGACACUUGAACACAAGUUAUUGUCAUGAAACUAGAAUAAUGCUUGUUUUUUGCCCCUUGUUUGGCCACUAAUUCCUAAAAUUUUGAGGCAAUUACCCCCAAAAUCAAUCCAAGCAUUCCCUUUGUGAUAUGGAACCUUGUGGUACAAUGUCAGAGAGAUCCAUACACUAACACACAAGUUAUGUCUGGAAGUUACAAAAAUGCUUAUUUUUGGCCCCUAAUUCCUUUACUGUUAGUACCAUAACCCCCAAAAUCAAUCCCAACCUUCUUUUUGUGGUAUUGAACCUUAUGGUAAGAUUUCAUAGAGAUCCAUUCACUUAAACUAAAAUAAGAGUGCGAAAACCAAUGUGUCUUAUAACGAAGACGACGACAACGACGCCAACGUCAUACCAAUAUACGAUUUUGCAGUCAUAUUAAAAUAACAAAUCUGAAUGUUUUUACAACUGAAAAGGAGCUGGUGAACAUUAAACUAAACAUUGUGAAAAUAAUAUAAGAUUUUACUCAACCAAACUUAAGAUAUCAAAAGGCCUGCUUGAGUGUACAGAUAAACAGACAAACCAUGACAUAACAAAAUACAUUUGUCAUUGAAAGGAAUAUUAAAAUUAGAUGAACACAAAACGACACAAAACAAAGUACAAUACGGAAUCAAUAAUUACACCUUGAUUCAGAUAUGACCAAAAAAUACCUUGUUUAUUCCUGUUGCAUAAUGGAAAAAAAUAUGUAUACUGUCAGAUAUACAAUUUAAAAAAGUCUGUUUACAUUUUCAGUUUCACACAAAUAAAGAUAGGACUAUUUGAACAUGACUAUCUAAAGAGACAAACUUACAAAAACAUUUGUUGAUUCUUUACAAAAAGUGUUAUAUUGAAUAAAACAGUCUGAAAAAAACAAAAAAUAAUUGUGUAUUAGACUUAUUUACAAAUUCAAAUGUAAGGUAGUUUUAAGGCAGUGGGUAUUUGAGGUAAUAUUUUUUAAGAAGACAACACUUUUUGCAUCCAGACAAUAAAGCACUAUGUAAGUCACAUGAGUACUUUAAGCCAAAAUAUAUCCACAAAUCUGAAGGACUUACUUACUAAUAGCUCUUUAACACACAUGAGAUAUCAAUCAAAAUAUGUUUACUUGAUAACGCAUGAUUGGAACAACACUAUGACACAUUUAUUUCAAAAAGAUAAUAUGUACACCAACACAUGAAAAUUUCAUUCACCUACUACAAUACCUUUUUAGGUUGGUACAUGUACCGGUACUAUUUAGAUAAGAAAUCAGUAUGACUAGCAUGCUCACACAAAGCUUAAUACAACAUUUUUUUGUAGGCUCUGAUUCAUAGACCUUGAGAAAAAUUUGACAUACAUUUAAUGGGAGUGAAAGCCAUAUGGACAGAGAUAAACUCAACUCCUUUAAUUUGUAGUUGGCUGCAACUUUAUUUAAGGGUGACAGUACAGAAGGUACAAAAAUAUGGAAAUGAGGCAAAAAUAAAUAUUUUGAAAUGGGGCAUCAAGGGAAAAAUAUGUCACAAAUGAGAAACCCUGUAAAUUGCAGAAAACAUUCAUGCAUGUUUAUACAGUAAUUUUAUAUUGUGGACACAAAUUUCUAUAGAAUUCAGAAUACAGAAAGAGUAAAGAUUUAAUGACAAGGAUAAUGUAGUGUACCACUUGUCCAGGAUAUACAGACCUUGGAUAGUGUAAACUUCCCAAAAAAACGUGUAUGGUGUAAUGGUGUAUGGCAUAUGGUGCAAUGGUAGAGGGUGUAUGGUGCUAUGGUGUAUGGUGUAAUGGUGUAUGAGGAAUGGUGUGAUUGUGUAACGUGCGAUCGGGAAUGGUGUGAAUGAAUGGUGUACGACAUUUCAUUGGUUGAAACCGAAGUUCAUUUUAUUUUAAUUUUUCGGAUUGUAAACAUAAACAAUAAUAAUAAUCUUAUUGUUCUUUUUUCCCAGUUUAGCAAAUUACUUUACUCGUUAGACUCUAUCAUGUCUAUGUUAUAGAUAUUAUACACAUAUUAAAAAAAUCUUUUUUUUUUCAUAUUCUUAUUUACAUGCAUUAAACAAUGGCUAUAAAAAUUACACACUUGUGAUCACAUGCAGUUAUCAUAAAAGAAAGGAUUUUUUUUUUAAACUAGAAGGCGGAUAAAAAGGUUAACCACGCAUAGGAACAAUAUUUUUAUAUCAUGGGUUAUCAACAUUAUCUUUAACGUUGCUUCGUUCCCCAUUUUUGACAGUAUCUUUAUAAAUAUUUCAUCGUAAUUCACCUUUGUUUGCCUUGAAUUUACGAUUCUGUUUUCCAAAAAAAUGUUCAAAGGAAAAUUGUAGUGUUAUUGCACAUAAGGUGUUGUAUAAUCAUGAACAAUCUCGUCAAUUUCGUUAGAUUUAUCUUUACAAUUUAUAAAUGGUAUCUUGAACGUCCGAAAAAAUAUACUUAUGUGAACAGAAAUGAAAUAUUUGCCACUUGAUAUUUAUCCACCAACAAAAUCAACCAACCGACAUAAUAUACAGUAUACUUUUCCUAGAAGAGAACUUCUCAUACUUUUCAUUAUAAAGUACAAAUGAAAUCUGUCUUGUCAGUCACAGUGUUGGAUGAUGUGGUGGAAUAGUUUUAUUAUACAAACCAUCCUGAACUAUUGAGUUUAAAUCAUCAUACCUCAGCAAGCACGACUAAUUUAUGCACAGACCAACCCAUCACACAAUAGCCCAAAAGGAAUCUGUGAUGUACCCAUCCAUAUUCAGAAGUGGGAAAUACAGAUACUGAUACUGACUUUAGUGACAGUAUUAUAUAACGAAUACAGAGAUGAAAUGCUGGCACUCUAAAUUAAAGCGGACAAUAUUUCUGUCAUAUGUAUUAUAUAAGCCAUCCUAACAUCAAAAUAUUAUUGCAUUAUAAUGCUGCUAUAUAUAUUUACAUAAUAAAGUGCAAAUAUGGUCAGUUUUGUUUAAUGCUGUUGAAUAAUUUUGUUAUAAGAGUCAGCCUGAGGUAUUAAAAUUACUGAAAUUUUGUUGCCAGACAAUAUUUUGAAGAAAAAAAAAGAGGACAGGCUGGCUAUCAAGAUUGAUGGGGACAAAUUUUUGUUUGCAUUGUAUUGCAAUGUUGCUGUCAUUUGUAUUAUACAAUCCAUCCUGACAUCAAGAUAUUGCUGAUUUACUAUGUGGCUAUAUAGAUAUACAUAAAAUUAAAAGUGGAAAUAUGGUCAGUUUUGGUUGAUGCUUUAAAAUAAUUUUGUUUUACGAGUUAGCCUUAGGUAUCAAAACUACUAAAAUUUUCUUGCCAGACAAUAUUUUGAAUAAAAAGCGGACAUGCUGGCUAUCUACAUUGAUUGGGACAAAUUUUAAUUGUCAUUGUAUUGCAAUGUUGCGGUCAUUUGUAUUAUACAAUCCAACCUGACAUCAAAAUAUGGCUGAUUAACUAUGCCACUAUAUAGAUUUACAUAAUAAAGUGCAAAUAUGGUCAGUUUUGGUUGAUGCUUUUAAAAAAGUUUUGUUAUACGAGUCAGCCUGAGGUAUCAAAACUACUGAAAUUUUCUUGCGAGACAAUAUUUUGAAUAAAAAGAGGACAUGCUGGCUAUCUAGAUUGAUGGGGACAAAUAUUUGUUGUCAUUGUAUUGCAAUGUUGCUGUCAUUUGUAUUAUACAAUCCAUCCUGACAUCAAAAUACUGCUGAUUUACUAUGCGGCUAUAUAGAUUUACAUAAUAAAGUGCAAAUAUGGUCAGUUUUGGUUGAUGCUUUAAAAAAGUUUUGUUAUACGAGUCAGUCUGAGGUAUCAAAACUACUGAAAUUUUCUUGCGAGACAAUAUUUUGAAUAAAAAGAGGACAUGCUGGCUAUCUAGAUUGAUCGGGAUAAUUGUUGUUGUCAUUGUGUUGCAAUGUUGCUGUCAUUUGUAUGAUACAAUCCAUCUUGACAUCAAAAUAUAGCUGAUUUACUAUGCGGCUAUAUAGAUUUACAUAAUAAAGUGCAAAUAUGGUCAGUUUUGGUUGAUGCGUUAAAAUAAUUUUGUUAUACGAGUCAGCCUGAGGUAUCAAAACUACUGAAAUUUUCUUGCGAGACAAUAUUUUGUAUAAAAAGAGGACAUGCUGGCUAUCUACAUUGAUGGGGACAAUUUUUUGUUGUCAUUGUGUUGCAAUGUUGCUGUCAUUUGUAUUAUACAAUCCAUCCUGACA